UACGUAGGUGGCAAGCGUUGUCCGGAUUUACUAGGCGUAAAGAGCGCGCAGGCGGUCGUCCAAGUCGCGUGUGAAAGCCCCCGGCUCAACUGGGGAGGGUCACGCGAUACUGGUCGACUCGAAGGCAGGAGAGGGUAGUGGAAUUCCACGUGUAGCAGUGAAAUGCGUAGAGAUGUGGAGGAAUACCGAUGGCGAAGGCAGCCCCCUGGGAUAACACUGACGCUCAUGCACGAAAGCGUGGGGAGCAAACAGG
rnacentral:rRNA from 1 species